rnacentral:tRNA from 3 species
GGAGAGAUGGCUGAGCUGGCUGAAGGCACUCGCCUGGAAAGCGAGUAGACGGGUGAAAAACCUGUCUCGUGGGUUCGAAUCCCACUCUCUCCGCCA